rnacentral:rRNA from 1 species
UACGUAGGGUCCGAGCGUUGUCCGGAAUUACUGGGCGUAAAGAGCUCGUAGGCGGUUUGUCGCGUCUGCUGUGAAAACUCGGGGCUUAACUCCGGGCCUGCAGUGGGUACGGGCAGACUAGAGUGCGGUAGGGGAGACUGGAAUUCCUGGUGUAGCGGUGAAAUGCGCAGAUAUCAGGAGGAACACCGGUGGCGAAGGCGGGUCUCUGGGCCGUAACUGACGCUGAGGAGCGAAAGCGUGGGGAGCGAACAGG